GUCCUUUUGAAUUUAAUUUAAGGUUUGACCUGCCCACUGAAAUUUUUUGAAGGGCCGCAGUAAUUUGACUGUGCAAAGGUAGCAUAAUCAUUAGUUUUUUAAUUGAAAGCUUGUAUGAAGGGUCGGACGAGGUAAAUUCUGUCUCUAUUUAAUUUUAUAUAGAAUUUAAUUUUUAAGUUAAAAAGCUUAAAUUUUUUUAAAAGACGAGAAGACCCUAUAGAUCUUUAUAUUAUAAAUAUUAAUUUUAAUUAGGAAUAUUUAAUUUUUUAGUAUUUAUAAUAUUUUAUUGGGGUAAUAAAAAGAUUAAAAUAAUUCUUUUUUUAUUUUAACAUUUAUUUAUGAUUAUAUGAUCCAAUUUUAUUGAUUAAAAGAUUAAGUUACCUUAGGGAUAACAGCGUAAUUUUUUUAGAGAGUUCAUAUCGAUAAAAAAGUUUGCGACCUCGAUGUUGGAUUAAAAAUUAUCUUAGGUGUAGAAGUUUAAGAUUUUGGUCUGUUCGACCAUUAAAUUUUU
rnacentral:rRNA from 1 species